rnacentral:rRNA from 1 species
GAUGAACGCUGGCGGCGUGCCUAAUACAUGCAAGUCGUGCGGCAGCGAGCCCUUCGGGGUGUCGGCGAGCGGCGGACGGCUGAGUAACACGUAGGAACAUACCCCAAAGUGAGGGAUAACUGCUCGAAAGAGUAGCUAAUACCGCAUGUGGUCUAAGGAUUAAAGCUUCGGCGCUUUGGGAAUGGCCUGCGUUCGAUUAGCUAGACGGUGAGGUAAAAGCUCACCAUGGCGACGAUCGAUAGCUGGUCUGAGAGGAUGAUCAGCCAGACUGGGACUGAGACACGGCCCAGACUCCUACGGGAGGCAGCAGUAGGGAAUGUUCCACAAUGGGCGAAAGCCUGAUGGAGCAACGCCGCGUGCAGGAUGAAGGCCUUCGGGUUGUAAACUGCUUUUAUAUGUGACGAUUAUGACGGUAGCAUAUGAAUAAGGAUCGGCUAACUCCGUGCCAGCAGCCGCCGUAA